GGUGUUAGUAGGCGCUGUGCUCUGGUGUGGCCCCCGCAGGACACCGUCCGGGUUCCCCGCGCGACUCCAGGCAGUGGGCGGAGUUAGUCCGCGGCCGUUUCCGCAGGGGCGGGGCGACCGAGGGCUGCGAACCUGGGCGAGGGGUUCCUUCUGUCACCCCUGCAGACCACUGGCUGACUGCGGGAGUGGGGCGUCUAAGUUAGUUCAGGGCUGGGGUGUGACUUACUCGUGCUGGAGGCCCCCAGGUUGAUUUCCAGCCCGCUCUACGCAAACUGGUCGGGGUGCGUGCCUGUGAUCCCAGCCCUUGCGAAGUGGAGGCGGCAGGAUCUUAAAUUCAAGGUCAUUCCUGGAGACCUUAACGGAGAACUUAGAGUUCUGGCUCACUCUGGGAUAGACACUGUAUCUCAAGGCGCUGGAGUUACAGGCAUGCGCCGUGGUGCUGAGGAUCGAACCCAGGACUUUGGGCUAGAGUCAGCUUGAAGGGGAGCAUUCAGCACCCUGGAGCCUCUGCAAAAUGAACCAGCUGCAUGGCUCCAGCAAGGACAAAGUGACAUCUCCCUUUACCUAGAACAUUCUGGUCCAAAGCAGCAGUUUGGCCCAGAAAGUUCAAAUAUCCCCAAAGAUGUCUGUUCAGAGGAAAUAAAGAGGGAAUCGUGUUCAGCUCCCAGCUCCCCAGGCAAGACGGGGCCCUUUGUGUGUUCAGUGCCGAACUGAAGGCGACUCUUUGAA